rnacentral:rRNA from 1 species
UACAGAGGGGGCAAGCGUUAUUCGGAAUUAUUGGGCGUAAAGGGCGCGUAGGCGGCUUUGCAAGUGACGGGUGAAAGCCCUCGGCUUAACCGAGGAACUGCCUGUCAGACUGUAAGGCUUGAGACCGGGAGAGGUGAGUGGAAUUCCCAGUGUAGCGGUGAAAUGCGUAGAUAUUGGGAGGAACACCAGUGGCGAAGGCGGCUCACUGGACCGGAACUGACGCUGAGACGCGAAAGCGUGGGGAGCGAACAGG